rnacentral:tRNA from 1 species
GGUAUUAUAGUUUAAUAAAAACGUUAGAUUGCAAAUCUGAAGAUGAUUAAUUUCUAAGACUU